rnacentral:rRNA from 1 species
AUGCAAGUCGAACGGCAGCACGGGUGCUUGCACCUGGUGGCGAGUGGCGAACGGGUGAGUAAUAUAUCGGAACGUACCCUAGAGUGGGGGAUAACGCAGCGAAAGUUGCGCUAAUACCGCAUACGAUCUACGGAUGAAAGUGGGGGAUCGCAAGACCUCAUGCUCAUGGAGCGGCCGAUAUCUGAUUAGCUAGUUGGUGGGGUAAAAGCCUACCAAGGCAUCGAUCAGUAGCUGGUCUGAGAGGACGACCAGCCACACUGGAACUGAGACACGGUCCAGACUCCUACGGGAGGCAGCAGUGGGGAAUUUUGGACAAUGGGCGCAAGCCUGAUCCAGCAAUGCCGCGUGAGUGAAGAAGGCCUUCGGGUUGUAAAGCUCUUUUGUCAGGGAAGAAACGGUGAGGGCUAAUAUCCUUUGCUAAUGACGGUACCUGAAGAAUAAGCACCGGCUAACUACGUGCCAGCAGCCGCGGUAAUACGUAGGGUGCAAGCGUUAAUCGGAAUUACUGGGCGUAAAGCGUGCGCAGGCGGUUAUGUAAGUCAGAUGUGAAAUCCCCGGGCUCAACCUGGGAAUGGCAUUUGAGACUGCAUGGCUAGAGUGUGUCAGAGGGGGGUAGAAUUCCACGUGUAGCAGUGAAAUGCGUAGAGAUGUGGAGGAAUACCGAUGGCGAAGGCAGCCCCCUGGGAUAACACUGACGCUCAUGCACGAAAGCGUGGGGAGCAAACAGGAUUAGAUACCCUGGUAGUCCACGCCCUAAACGAUGUCUACUAGUUGUCGGGACUUAAUUGUCUUGGUAACGCAGCUAACGCGUGAAGUAGACCGCCUGGGGAGUACGGUCG